rnacentral:rRNA from 1 species
UACGUAGGGUGCGAGCGUUAAUCGGAAUUACUGGGCGUAAAGCGUGCGCAGGCGGUUUUUUAAGCCAGAUGUGAAAUCCCCGGGCUUAACCUGGGAAUGGCAUUUGGGACUGCAAGGCUGGAGUGCGGCAGAGGAGACUGGAAUUCCUGGUGUAGCAGUGAAAUGCGUAGAUAUCGAGAGGAACACCUGCGGCGAAGGCGGGUUGCUGGGCUGACACUGACGCUGAGGCGCGAAAGCUAGGGGAGCGAACGGG